rnacentral:rRNA from 1 species
GACGAACGCUGGCGGCGUGCUUAACACAUGCAAGUCGAACGGAAAGGCCCUGCUUUUGUGGGGUGCUCGAGUGGCGAACGGGUGAGUAACACGUGAGUAACCUGCCCUUGACUUUGGGAUAACUUCAGGAAACUGGGGCUAAUACCGGAUAGGAGCUCCUGCUGCAUGGUGGGGGUUGGAAAGUUUCGGCGGUUGGGGAUGGACUCGCGGCUUAUCAGCUUGUUGGUGGGGUAGUGGCUUACCAAGGCUUUGACGGGUAGCCGGCCUGAGAGGGUGACCGGCCACAUUGGGACUGAGAUACGGCCCAGACUCCUACGGGAGGCAGCAGUGGGGAUUAUUGCACAAUGGGCGGAAGCCUGAUGCAGCAGCGCCGCGUGCGGGAUGACGGCCUUCGGGUUGUAAACCGCUUUCGCCUGUGACGAAGCGUGAGUGACGGUAAUGGGUAAAGAAGCACCGGCUAACUACGUG